UGAUAUGCGAUGAAACGAGAGGUUGCUGUCGGGGGACGCUCCGGCAGGGAAUUUUCGUGGAGUAUGUCCGAACAAUCGGGCGA
rfam:Clostridium sp. CAG:448 genomic scaffold, scf106